rnacentral:rRNA from 1 species
AUGUCCGAUUCAGAGCUGUCAGAAUUACAUGAUUCAGAUCCAGAGCCAGAUUUAGAUCAAAAUCAAGAUGCGGCAUUGUCAGAGCAACUUUUCAUGCGCCCGUGCAAAUUCAACGGUCACCAUAGGCUUAUUUUUCAGCAUAAUCCGAGGAUAUUACCCACACCCCCUCCACUCGUGGCACUGUAUAAUUACCUUGUCCUAACAGAAUCUGCGGACACAAAAUAUCCUCAACAUCCAGUGGAGGAAGAGGUGUGGAAACUUCCACUUCAAAGAAGACUCAAUGAGCUGAAGGUCAAGUUAUCAACCGAGGAUCACCUGGAAGCUAUCAAUAUGGAUACCUUUAAGGGUCACAACAUCAAUCUUGUACCAAUCCGCACGGAAGGCACCGAGUCAUUCGAGACACCGAAGGAUGGUGAUGAUGGCACUAGGCUUUUUUUCCUCAUCUGCCAGAAGCUUCGUAUUAAAGUCCACCAUGGGUGCCUUGAGAACCCAAAGGAUCCUGAGAACGGCGAAGGUCAGCUCACGCGUUUUGGUUUGAAAUGUUUGUCUGAAAACAUUGAAGAGGGAAACCUUGCUCUAUUCUUUAGGAAGGAUCAUCUUAGUGUAGUCUGCAAGCACCAUGGGACAUUAUUUGUUUUAGAAACAAAUAUUUAUAGUUGGAUUAAGAAGAAAUGUAGCCCAAUGUGGGGAACACUAAAUCUGAGUGAUCUUGAAGUGGUCUUAUUCACGUACCGGUUUACUCCUGCUGAUAUGCGCUUACAACGGAAUGCACAGGAACAAAGUGUUGUAGAAUUUAUUGGCAAAUGGAAUCAAGAUGAAGAGGCCAGGAAAAAUGAGCUAGAUGAUACAAGUCUCUUUGAUUCAGAAUCAGAAGGAAACAAAUCUCACAAGCCACCAGGAAAAAAGAGUGGUGGUAAGAAAAGUCGCCAGAGGAAGAAACGUGCAGAUAAGUCAGAUACAAGCAUCCAAGGAAGCACGGAUAAGAAACUGAACAAAUCAGUUGGAGCUGAAGAUAGUGCACAAAGACCCUGCGAUGACACUGGUGAGAAUGCGGCUCGAGCUAAAUCUAGUGCAGCAAGGCCUGAUGAUGAGUAUGACUGGAUAAAAAAGAGUGCUAUGCUUUUUUUUGACAAGUUUAAGGAUCUAGAUGAUGAAAUGCCAGAUGGAAAUAAUGAUCUCCCAUCAUAUGUCAGAAUGGUAGAAGCAUUGAAAGCUCAGCCAAAAGGGAGAAGAACAAACCUGGUUCAUAUAAAUUUUCCAGAUAUCGUAGGUCAUGACCCGACAUUGGCACUUGCAAUUUUGCACGAUAGAAACAGGCUAGAGAAGCUGUUGGCAGAAGUAUUCCUAGAUUUUCGAGUAAAACAUAAUUGUGGAAAUAAAGAACAGCUGAAGGGGAAGAUCAAGAUACGUUUUCAUGAUAUGCCGCCUGCUGACAGCGUCCAAGUUUUAGUGGCUUUCCUUGAAUCCAAUAACAUCAACCUCGCCGAGCUGCAUACAUUUUAUGAUGGGAAAACUGCUACCUCCACCUCAUUCUGGGGAAGAAGGGUUGGGAAAGGUUAUGUUGAUGAUAUAAUCGAGAAUCACCGGAACCAUAGAUCUUGGAAUGGAGAGUUCGAAUUGUCAGAUAUGGUGAUCAUCAACGGGAAAUUUCGGAUUCUGAAAUCUGCUGAGGCGACAGCGACCAGUGAUACAAUGUGUAAAGAUUUUCUGAAGCUGAUUGACCUUCUUUUCAACCGUUACGAACUUCCCAAUGCUGAAGGGAAGCCAACACCUCCGGCGUAUUUUGAUAUUUUCCAUCAAGAAGUCAUGACGAUGAUGUCUCUGUAUGACGAUCCAGAACCACAGAAGUUUAGGGCAUUUCAGAGAUAUUUGUCCCAUCAUCCGGCCUUCAAAGCACCGUGGGUGCGAUCAGCAUUGUUCGGUGAUGUGUGGAGAGUUAUCCAAGCUCUUCCUAGGAUCAUCCCAGGCGAAUAUAGUAAAAGAGAUCCUUAA